CUUUCUUCUCUAUCCAUUUGUUGAGAACAUAUAUCAAACACCAUGAGCUCAUUCACCACCAACAACAACAACUCGAACUCCAACUUGGACAACCUUCUCCUUCAAACACUCAUGGGUAGGCUUCAGCUCCGAACUCCGAUGAACAACCCUUUGGUCUCUCAGUCCCUCGAGGACUUCCUCUUCGAUGCUGCCAAUGACCUCGACCUCGACGACGAUGACGACGAAAACGACGCCGUAAACUACGGAAGCAGGUCAGAGCUCGCCAAAGAAGAGUCGAAGCUCGAAAGAGAAAUCGUCCAGGUCAUCCUCAGCGGCAACGCUGAUUCCCUCAAACCCAAUUCCGGCCAGGCUGUGUCGAUUCGCGACCACCACAUCUGCGUCGGAUUUCAAGAGGAAGAGGGUUCGGAUUAUCGAGUGUGGGAGUGGCAUGGCCAUAUAAUGAUGUUCGACGAAGAACAUGGUUACUCGCCCGAGUAUAUAUAUGGAAAUUACUUCCAGAGGUUGAUGCCCAAACCUGCUGGUAGUAGUGGUAGUGGUAGUGGUGGUGGUGGUGUUGAUGAAAAUCCUGUGGAGCAGAAAGUGGGGAAUUUGGGGUUGAGAGAAUUGAUUGAUACCAAGGAUUCCACCGGGGGUCGGAUUCUUCAUCGGAACAUCAAUGCUGGUUCUCCCAGGAAGGCAUAAUGAAGAUAUGAUUGCAUGAAUGGGUAUAAGGCAAGAAACUCGUGAAUGCCUUUUAGAUCUCUUGGUCCUGGCAAGGUUUUUCUUAAUAGAAGGGUAGUAGCAUUACCUGUUUCCAUAUUUAUAGUGGAUGGAGUGUCACUGUCAAUCUAGAUUCAAGUGCUGGUACUAGAUAAGAAAUUUUUUCUUCAUCUUCAAGUUCAAAGUAUUGUUAGCAGAGGUUGUAACCAGCAUCUCGUUCCCGUUGUUAAGCAAAGAUUGAUUUCCGCUGUUUUUCACAGUGCCAAUAUCAGAAUUAAGCCUGCAUCUAAGGUAUCUGUUUGAUUUUCAAAAUACAUACUGUAAAGGAUGUGAGACAUAGAUUUCUCCAAUAAUAUAUUUUCUUU